rnacentral:rRNA from 1 species
AGUGAACGCUGGUGGUAGGCCUAACACAUGCCAGUCGAACGGCAGCACAGUAAGAGCUUGCUCUUACGGGUGGCGAGUGGCGGACGGGUGAGGAAUACAUCGGAAUCUACUUUUUCGUGGGGGAUAACGUAGGGAAACUUACGCUAAUACCGCAUACGACCUACGGGUGAAAGCAGGGGAUCUUCGGACCUUGCGCGAUUGAAUGAGCCGAUGUCGGAUUAGCUAGUUGGCGGGGUAAAGGCCCACCAAGGCGACGAUCCGUAGCUGGUCUGAGAGGAUGAUCAGCCACACUGGAACUGAGACACGGUCCAGACUCCUACGGGAGGCAGCAGUGGGGAAUAUUGGACAAUGGGCGCAAGCCUGAUCCAGCCAUACCGCGUGGGUGAAGAAGGCCUUCGGGUUGUAAAGCCCUUUUGUUGGGAAAGAAAAGCAGCAGGUUAAUACCCCGCUGUUCUGACGGUACCCAAAGAAUAAGCACCGGCUAACUUCGUG